GCCUGUAUGAAGCCGGAAUUGCUAGUAAUGGCAGGUCAGCAUACUGCCGUGAAUACGUUCCCGGGCCUUGUACACACCGCCCGUCACACCAUGAGAGUUGGGGAUACCCAAAGCCCGUGAGCCAACUAUAAAGAGGCAGCGGUCUAAGGUAGAAUCAAUGAUUGGGGUGAAGUCGUAACAAGGUACC
rnacentral:rRNA from 1 species